UUCAAGGGAGCCGAAAAUUGUAUAGAGUAGGUA
rnacentral:ncRNA from 1 species